CGUCUCUUGAAGGAAGACGGUCUUCUGAUUGGUGCGAGGAGGGACACAUUUCUUCAUUGGUCGAAGUUUAAAGUGCUGGUUCUUAACUGCGUGGAAUCGGAAGGUGUCACAUUUGACCAGAUCUCACUGUCUCUGAACAACAUUGGUGAUGCCAUGGAAGAUAUCACUAUUACUAUCAUCAUUAUCAUCAUCUUGAUAAGCAUUUUUACAACAUUUUCAAUGUGGCUCUCAAUCGGGUUUUUGGAUAAAGCAAAUAACUCUUGUCUGAUAUAUUAUAGCCCAAAACAAUAACACUAGUUGAAAAUGGCAAUGUCUUUUAAAAGUAAC
rnacentral:lncRNA from 1 species